AUUGAACGCUGGCGGCAGGCCUAACACAUGCAAGUCGAACGGCAGCACAGAAGAGCUUGCUCUUUGGGUGGCGAGUGGCGGACGGGUGAGUAAUGUCUGGGAAACGGCGCGAUGGAGGGGGAUAACUACUGGAAACGGUAGCUAAUACUGCAUAACGUCGCAAGACCAAAGUGGGGGACCUUCGGGCCACACACCAUCGGAUGUGCCCAGAUGGGAUUAGCUAGUAGGUGGGGUAAUGGCUCACCUAGGCGACGAUCCCUAGCUGGUCUGAGAGGAUGACCAGCCACACUGGAACUGAGACACGGUCCAGACUCCUACGGGAGGCAGCAGUGGGGAAUAUUGCACAAUGGGCGCAAGCCUGAUGCAGCCAUGCCGCGUGUAUGAAGAAGGCCUUCGGGUUGUAAAGUACUUUCAGCGGGGAGGAAGGCGGUGAGGUUAAUAACCUUGCCGAUUGACGUUACCCGCAGAAGAAGCACCGGCUAACUCCGUGCCAGCCGCCGCGGUAA
rnacentral:rRNA from 1 species